rnacentral:rRNA from 1 species
GACGAACGCCGGCGGCGUGCUUAACACAUGCAAGUCGAACGGAAAGGCCCUGCUUUUGUGGGGUGCUCGAGUGGCGAACGGGUGCGUAACACGUGAGUAACCUGCCCUUGACUUUGGGAUAACUUCAGGAAACUGGGGCUACUACCGGAUAGGAGCUCCUGCUGCAUUGUGGGCGUUGGAAAGUUUCGGCUGUUGGGGAUGGACUCGCGGCUUAUCAGCUUGUUGGUGGGGUAGUGGCUUACCAAGGCUUUGACGGGUAGCCGGCCUGAGAGGGUGACCGGCGACAUUGGGACUGAGAUACGGCCCAGACUCCUACGGGAGGCAGCAGUGGGGAAUAUUGCACAAUGGGCGGAAGCCUGAUGCAGCAACGCCGCGGGCGGGAUGACGGCCUUCGGGUUGUAAACCGCUUUCGCCUGUGACGAAGCGUGAGUGACGGUAAUGGGUAAAGAAGCACCGGCUAACUACGUG